rnacentral:rRNA from 1 species
UACGUAGGGUGCGAGCGUUGUCCGGAAUUACUGGGCGUAAAGAGCUCGUAGGUGGUUUGUCGCGUUGUUCGUGAAAUCUCACGGCUUAACUGUGAGCGUGCGGGCGAUACGGGCAGACUUGAGUACUGCAGGGGAGACUGGAAUUCCUGGUGUAGCGGUGGAAUGCGCAGAUAUCAGGAGGAACACCGGUGGCGAAGGCGGGUCUCUGGGCAGUAACUGACGUGCGUGAGGAGACGAAGCGUGGGGAGCGAACAGG